CCUGUCCUUGUCCUCGAGGCCGGGGAACUGGAUGGCCUGGACAUGGCUGAACUCAGCCAGAUGGGUAGGCUGGAAGGACAGACGGAGUGGGAGACGCGCGUCAUCAGCAGAGGGUUGGGGGUUUGAAUCCUGCCCACCCUCCCUUCCUGGCAUGCCCCCUUGGUCACCUUAUGUCACUGGAGACAGGCUCAAGUCCCACUGCGAGCCACUACUGGACGAUCUGCACAGGCAGCGUUGGCGAACAGCUUGAAGGUCUGCUGGAUCAGCUUUCGCAGCGUCUUGGGCUACAGAGAACGCAGGAGACCAACAAGAGAUCACAAAAGCUGGUUCUGUUCAUCUGAAAUAAGGUGUAGACGACACACUGUGCAGGAUUUGGGCUCAAAUCACGGUGCAUUAUUCCGGAUAGCUGUACGAGUGGCAUGUUCUUAUUAAACAGCCAAGCGCUGCUUGGACUGACAAGGGGACCCUGAAUUAUUAAAGCCACUCUGCCUAAUCCAUCCCCCAUUAUGUGUGAAUCAAUGGGUCAACAGAUUAAUAAUGACAUGAAAGAAAGGCUGUUCUAAGUCUGGAAUUGAGUUUUAUGCAACACAAUUCCUAUAAUUUCUAGGUUUAAAAAGGGGAUGGUUAGCUAAUCUUAUUGGCUAGCUAAAGCCCACACAGACACAGACACACAUAGUCACACUCAGACACAGACACACAGACACACACACAGACACACACACAGUCACACACAGACACACACAGACACACACACAGUCACACACACAGUCACACACACAGACACACACACAGACACACACACAGUCACACGCAGACACACACACAGUCACACACAGUCACACACACACACAGUCACACACACAGUCACACACACAGACACACACACAGACACACGCAGUCACACACACAGACGCACACGGACGCAUUAAGGGACUUUACACCUCUUCAUUUAUUUGAAGAUUAUCCUCACCCCUGCGAAAUUCAAAGGCUGGUGGAAACUGCUGAUAAAGCAUUUUUGGACU